GUUCGGACUGUAGUCUGCAACCCGACUACACGAAGCUGGAAUCGCUAGUAAUCGCGGAUCAGCAAGCCGCGGUGAAUACGUUCCCGGGCCUUGUACACACCGCCCGUCACACCAUGAGAGUCGGGAACACCCGAAGUCCGUAGUCUAACCGCAAGGGGGGCGCGGCCGAAGGUGGGUCCGGUAAUUGGGGUGAAGUCGUAACAAGGUAAC
rnacentral:rRNA from 1 species